rnacentral:misc_RNA from 1 species
CUGCUGGCUUCGGCCUAGCUCGUUCGUAAUGCAUUAGCAUCCCGAUGACAAGUUUGGAUUGACUUGGCGUAAUAGACUAUUCGCUGAGGAGUAAGUGGCCUUCGGGUUACUGAGCCAACUCGUUUCAGGAAGCUUCUAAUCCCUAAAGUCUACCUUUUAGAUUAGAUCUCCAAUCAGGCAGGAUUACCCGCUGAACUUAA